ensembl:snRNA U6 U6 spliceosomal RNA
GUGCUGGCUUUGGAAGCAUGUAUGCUAAAAUUGGAACCACACAGAGAUGACCAUGACCCCUGUGCAAGGAUGCUGUGCAAAUUCAUGAAGCAUUCCAUAUUUUU